GACGAACGCUGGCGGCGUGCUUAACACAUGCAAGUCGAGCGGUAAGGCCCUUUCGGGGGUACGACGAGCGGCGAACGGGUGAGUAACACGUGGGUGACCUGCCCUCCAGCUCUGGGAGUAAGCCUGGGAAACCGGGGUCUAAUACUGGAUAUGACUCCAUGACGCAUGUUGUGGGGUGGAAAGCCUUGUGCGGCUGAGGAUGGGCCCGCGGCCUAUCAGCUUGUUGGUGGGGUGAGGCCUACCAAGGCGACGACGGGUAGCCGGCCUGAGAGGGCGACCGGCCACACUGGGACUGAGACACGGCCCAGACUCCUACGGGAGGCAGCAGUGGGGAAUCUUGCGCAAUGGGCGAAAGCCUGACGCAGCGACGCCGCGUGAGGGAUGACCGGCC
rnacentral:rRNA from 1 species